CGAAGACAACCAGCAAGAAACUAUGUGAUGUAAGAAUAGGAAUAGAUGAGAGAUAUGUCCUGUUACUGAAGUUAUCAAAAGUUAUCAAAUGUAAUGGUUUAUUAAACGUUACCUUAAAGGUGUCAGAUGAGAUGUACGUAAUCAGUAUUUCCAUGUAUAGAGCUUGUAUUGCUAUAGACAGCUACUUACAUGUUUCCUUCGUAUUUACAUAAUGUGGAUAUUUUCUAAAGUUGUAUAAAAGACAACCGUCAAGAAACUGUUCGCUACACAAAGACACGCAAUUUGUAAUUCAUAAGAUGUUGUGCGCGCAAAUAAUAUGUUUCUCAAGAACAUUUCUCAAUACUUAACUACAAACUGUCAGUAGUGUCUCGUGUAGGUGAGAUAUUGUAAGUCCCACAAGACGACUGACCUAGUCGGUAUUGUCAAGUAUAUUGAAUAUACAAAUUAAUAAAGUAUUAUGGUAAAUACAAUAGUUCGGGUUUUCUGAGUCAACUUGGACGUGAUAUCAAUCAACAAGUUCUACACUUAGAACUUAGAUAGAAGACAACCGUCAAGAAACUCCUCGAUGAAAUACGUGUUACUGAAAUGAUUAAAACUGUAUUUAUAAACAGUUGGUAGUUAACUGCCACUUACAAAUAUUUUCUACUUCUUUCAUGUUUGAUAUAAUAAUAUUGUAAAAGCGUUGUAUCGAAGACAACCGUCAAGAAACUAUACAUACAUCCUCUUUUUAUACAAGUAGUCCUUUUUUCUUUGACGUGUGUAAUACCUUAUCUUGGUAAAACACAUUCGUAAUAAAUUUAAAUUGAUUUUAAAAAUGAAUGAUAUUAAAAAAAUGAAUGAUAUUAAAAAAAUGAAUGAUAUUUAAAAAUGAAUUUAUAUAAUCGUCAAGAAACUACAAAUUACACUUUUUACACAUUUUUGUACGUAGCUUUGUACAAUGUUCCUUCACGAGGUUGGACUGAAUCCUUGUCCUCUGUCUGUGACACACGCUACAUAACAUGUUAUAAGUCAGAACACAGCGUGUAGCUGUCUGUGUCUCACAACCACCAAUGUUCUAAUUGUGUGCGUCGAUAUUUGACACAUGUAAAGCGGAAUAUUGCAGUUCCCACAAUGAAGUCCUCACACUCUUGUAAGAGUUACAUCAAAGACAACCGUCAAGAAACUCGUUGUUCUAGAAACUAGCAAUCUUCUUUUGGUAUUAAUCUUUGGUAUUAAAAAUAUUUCCCCACUUAGAAAGUCAUUGAAGUGGUCGCUCCGUGUGUACUGUGGAAUGUACAUGAUUUAACUUCUUCAUACUUAAUGUCAUUGAGAGACAAUGUAAUGUAUUAAACAUUGAAAGUUCCAUGGAUUUGUCCAUUUGUCUUGACAUACAUUUGUCAAUAAAUAUUUCCUACACAUGUCGUGACUGAAAUGUCGUAAAAGAGUUCUGUGAAGGACAACCGUCAAGAAACUUCUCGUCUGUCGUUGUAUUUAUAUUUAGGUAACUGUUUAUUGCAAAUGUGAUGUAUGACAAGUCUCAAUAACUAUCUCUCAUGAGCAACAGGGGUUUAUAAAACUACAAUUUACCCUAAUUGUAACCAUUGAUAGUAAACGUGGUAUUUAUUUACCUAAUUCAUUAUCUGCUCAUGUAGAAAGCUGUACUUUAUACAUAUUAAAAACCUAAUGGAUUUUGGAUUUUCAAAACGUUCCAUGUCACAUGUUCAUAUGUAUCCUAUAUAUAGUAUUUCAAAAUAUUGUAUAAUGUUGCAUCGAGGACAACCUGUUAAGAAACUUACAAAUAUUUUUUUAUAUUCUUUCGUAAUUGAAAUGGUCAAAGAUUUGUAUCGAAGACAACCGUCAAGAAAUUAUUUGUACAUUAAACUUCGCUUCACGAGGACUAAAAUAUUUGUCAUAAUUUUUUAAUAAAGUGUUUGUGUCGAUCUUUUCGCAAAAUGUAAUGUAUUAAUGUACUCUAGAAGUUUUAAGACAAACUUACUUUGUACUAUGUAAAAUAUGUCCGAGUAAGGAGAGAACUGUGUAAUGUUGAUGUAUCUUUUAAAUAAAAUAUAUUUCAUACACACAAAAUGCCCUGUAAUGGCGAUUACAUAAAUGUAUUCUAGAAUUAGUAUUUAUAAGAUACAACAACAGUAUGUUAUUUUAUUUAUAUUUGUAGUAGUGGUAGUGUUAAGCCUUUGGGUGUGGGAUCAUACACGCCCAUUAACUCGGCCCUGGGGGGAGUAGAGUCACCUUCUCUACUCUUCACUUGGGCAAUUCCUGUCUGGCGCGUCCAUGUCGCGGGGGUGGGCAUCUUACACUUCAGUAGGCCGGAGUGUGUAGAUGGCGAAGUUCAGCAGGGACCCAGUCCUGCGGGGUAUAACGCGGAACCCGUGCCCAGGGUUACGGGUGAAGACUUCAACAAGUCAAGCAACAAGCACAUCGCGAGAGCUACGAUAUCCAGGGAAAAUGCAUCAUUGUCAACUACGAGCAUUCUGUCAAGAAUGUACGACUGAGGAGGAGGAUGCUGCUCUACAGUCGUUCUACACAAGAUAUCCUUUUCAGUAUUUCAAAAUACAUGAAGAUAUUAUGUACUAAAUGUUUAAUGUAUUUGAAACGUUUAGAAUCGAGUCUUUAUUGAGUUCUAUCGAGGAACAACUCUCAAGAAACUCUGUUGUCUUAGAAAUGUGGUGUUGUAAUGUUCUCCAAGGGUUAAUGAGAAGAGAAUCAUAUAUGUAUUUCUAAUAUAUUUAAUGAUCAAAAUAUCGUCUAAAAGUUAUAUUGAAGAACAAUUAUGAAGAAACUACAACAGAUGAUUCGCGCUUGUUCUAAUUGUGUGCGUCGAUAUUUGUGGCGUGAAUUAUAUUGUCUGUGUCUAUGUCCCAAUCUACAUAUAGUCCGGUGUGUAUAAACAUCAGUUUAGUUAUAUAUAUUGUGAAUAUUUAAACUGAUAAUGAAACAUACAUUAAAUAUUGAAAGUUCCACUGACCCUAAUAAUAGUUUGCAGUCUCAAAUGUAUUUAAAUAAAACGAAACUCUACAAGUUGUAUCGAAGACAACCAUCAAGAAACUUAAUAUAAUCUUUGAAAUGUAAAAAUAGAUUUCCCUGUGGUUCCUUUCCAUUAGAACCUGUGCAUUGUUCCAUGUCUCAGAGACAAUAUUACUGACUGCUACUAUGGCAAAUGUUCACUUUAUACGGACUUGUGUGUGCGUCGAUAUAUGUCGUAUGAAUUAUAUUGUCUGUAUUGAUGUAAUUAUUUGCCAUUGUUGCAAUUGUUGGUAUUGUAUUGUAAUAAUUAAUCGAUAUUUGUCGUGUGUCUAUGUCAUGUCUUAAGGGUUUGAAUAUUAUAAAAGGUUUUAAACUUUCUUGUCUUUUCGAAAUGUAAUAAUUAUAACUAUCUUUUCUUUUAGUACUGGUCUUGUGGAAAACUAAUAUUUCUCUCUGCGACCAUCGCAGCACGAUAUGAAUCAACUAUUUCCCCACUUAGUGGUACUUUCAUUGAAGUGAUCUUUCCCCACUUAUUACGUGUGGUCGCUGUAAGUGGGUAGUUCACAUUAUAAUGUUGAAUGUUUGUUAUAAUACAACAAUCUGCCACUUACUAAUAUUUCCUGUAAGAUAUUUCAUGAUCAAAGUAUUGUAUUAGAGUUGUAUCGAAGACAACCGUCAAGAAACUCAUUAGUUCGUGAAGCUAGCAGACAAGUUUACUUCUUCAUUAGUAAAGCAAUAUAUAUGACUUUAAUCGGGAUUAAUCCCGACAAGGAUCCAAUAUAAUAAUGAUUGCAUUUUUUUAAAUAAUGCUUUAUAUUUUAGAAGGCGGCACUACAUUCAGGCGCUCGAUGUGACGCUGUGUGCGUCGAUAUUUGGUACAACAAUAUUACUGACUGCAACUAUAUCUAAUGUUCUAUGAGUGUUGCAUGUUAGCUUGUGUCGAAGACAACCGUCAAGAAACUUAUUGAAUAUCUAUAUAAAAUACAAAGUUCUUGUGCUUCCUCAUGUAAUGUACUUCCAAGCAGACUAUAGUGUACCAGACUGCGACUUAGUAGGACACAAUUACUCCACUGAGGACUGCAGCGGUCGUUCGGUUUAGUUAAUUCCUUGUUAAUGAUGCGCUCGAGUGCAACCGAGUCAUGUGCUGUAUGACGAUAUACCAAUACUUAAAAUUUUCCUCGAACAUUUGUAUAGGUAUCAUUCACUGCACUGUCUUAAUUCUAAUCUGUUAUUUUAAUCCAAUAUUAAGUCUAUACAACAGACUGUUCAAAGAAUGAACUUGUUCUAAUUGUGUGCGUCGAUAUUUGUCGUAUCAAUUACAAUAUUGUAUUUUAUGUAUGCUGAAUAUCCCAUCAUCAUCCAAUGUGCUGAUAUACAUCGGGCGAUGUUGCCCGACGUCGCCCGACAUCGCCCGAUGUCUCUGGGGACACAUGUCGCUCGACAAAUGUUCCUAGUGGAGACGAGGCUUAAAUCUUGUAUCGAAGACAACCGUCAAGAAACUCAUUAGUUCGUGAAGCUAGCAGACAAGUUUACUUCUUCAUUAGUAAAGCAAUAUAUCGGGAUUAAUCCCGACAAAUAUUCCAAUAAAAUGUAUAUGAGAGUACUGAAUGUUUCCUGUGAACAUAUUAGUUCUAUUGUAUGAAACAUUUGUCAUACUUGUAUCGAGGACAACCGGCAAGAAACCAAUUGAUAUAGGUACCAAUACUUAAUGCUGUAACAAUAUUUCGACAAUUAUAUAUAUAUUUUUCUCUCAUUUGAAAUAUUAUAAGAGAGUCGAUAUUUAACAUGAUAUACAAAAUACGUAUAGAAUAUUGAUAUUCAGAGUUCCAUGUAAUCAUUAAAUGUUCCACGUCUCACUUUCAAUGCCACAUUCAGGCGCAAUGAGACUUAUUCUACAAAAUUAUCUGUCUAACUUGUAUCGAAGACAACCGUCAAGAAACUCGUCAGAUAGUGUAUGGAAGUUAAAUAAUCAUUUUCUUUGAUUGGCCGUGGUGUUCAAUGUGUCUACUAGCAGUACGUGUCGGUACUUGGUGCAUGAGUACGUAGUUAUGGACACAGGAGGCGUGUUCAAACAAUGUCAUCUACUCGUAACGAUGUAAUAAUAAAGGAGUUUGGAUGAGACCCACCUAGUCAGUAUUUCCAAGUAGUCGGUGGCUCCAGCUACUUACUACUCUUUCCUACAUGUUGCAUGAUUACAACAUGAGUGUUGUAUCGAAGACAACCGUCAAGAAACUCUUUGUUUAGACUGUGGAGAAAGUGUUUUCUGGAAGUUAUGAUUUUCUCUCGACGUCUCUACAUGUUAUUGGGGGCAAUAGACAAACAAACGUUCCCCACUGAGGACGCCAGUGGCGAAAGGUAAAGUGCUAAAUAUAGAUAAACCAUCAACCGUACUUGUUCUAAUUGUGUGCGUCGAUAUUUGUCGCGUGAAUUAUAUUGUCUUCAUCUAUCGUCACUUAUUUCUUCCGGGUAGUACUAAAGUAAAACAGUUAAACAUUCAGUUUCUCGUAUUCUACGUGGACAGUCCAUGUUUCAAUUGUCAACAUUUAAAAUUAUAUAAACUACGAUUUCCUCACUUAAAGCGACAGUUGUCGUUCUAUGUGGAUAAUGUUUAAUUACGUGUUAAACAUUAAAUUAUUAUGUAGAAAUGUAUAAACCGCGCCUCGCUGCGAUGGACGACUGUCAAGAAACUAGUUACUCCAGAACGAUUCUCAUUUAUUAAAAUAUCUUCGUGUUCUUAACUUGGGUGGGACGCCAUUAAAGUACUACUUCCAGGUGUCCAGUAUAACCAUGUAUUGUGUAAUUUGUAAACAUUUAAUGUAAUACAGAACAUAUUUCUGUACUAUUUGUAUUCCAUGUCUCACGGUCCGCUACAAAUAAAUAUUUCCUACACAUUUCAUGACUGAAAUGUCGUAAAAGAGUUCUGUGAAGGACAAUCGUAAAGAAACUUCUUCGUACAUUUAGCAAAUGUAAUCUCAGACAAAACAAUUCUCAGUAUAACUCGUUUAACAUAAACAUCAAACAAGCUUCUAGCUUGUUCUCGCGGUGUUCGUAUAUUGAGAUUUAUACCAUUACGUGGUAAAUAUUUCAACUGCGAUUCCUCUACUUGUAUCGACUGCCGCUGUCGGUUCUAUGUGUAUUUGGUACAAUAUAACAAUUAUGUUGGGAACGAUUCUAAUGAAUCCAAUGAAUUAGUUAUACACUCCACGUCUCAUGAAGAGGUUGUUCUAUGUGGACAAUAUUUGAGGGACACGCGUAAAUACAUUCAAGCAUACAAUUGUAUCGAAGACAACCGUCAAGAAACUCUUUGGUCAGUCUAGCAGUAAACCUGCUAUUAUUGCGUUUGCGACGACUGUUUAGUUGCAAUGGCUUGUAGUGAAAAAAACGUAAACUUCCCAUGAAAUAAGCAUUAAGCUUAUUUGGAACUUUAUACAUAUAUGCUUCUUGUUUGUAAUGACAUUCUUUAAUGCUGUGUGUAUAUCAGUGUGUAUAUCAUACCGCUUGAAAUUAUAUAUUUAAAAUAUCUCAAAAUCUUCGGAUGCGUCCGAGUCGAUGUCCACUGUCUCGUGUGUUGACAAAUUAUUAGGUAAAUGACUUUGUUGCACUACGUUAAUGACGUGGUAUUAAAAAAAACUAUUUCCCCACUGUGGAACUAUUUGUCGUUCUAUGUGGUAAUUCCAUAUUAUAUAACUCAGUAUUUCCAAGCAGUUUGUAGUCUCACAAACAACUACUCUUUAAUAUUUCCCACUUAUGUUUAAAACAUAAGAAUUGUGUCAAAGACAACCAUUAAGAAACUCUUUAAAUAAUCUACAUUGUAGGGUUACUUGUAUUUUCCCUCAUUUCAUGAUUGAAAUAUUGUAAAAGAGUUGUAUCGAAGACAACUAUCAAGAACCUUCAUUGUAUUGUUAUGUAAAUCAUCCCUAGAUAUUAAAGGUAAUUCUAUAUCUCCAUUAAAAAGAGGAUAGUGCAUUUAUCGAGGAAGGCUAUAGGCUAUUAAACAUCACGCUAUGACCAAUAGGAGCCGAGCAGAGCGGGUGAAACCGUGCGGAAGUAGCUAGUAAAAUAUAUUUCAAAUAGACAAAAUGCCCUGUAAUGGCAAGUACAUAAAUGUAUUCUAGAAUUAGUAUUUACAAGAUACAACAACUGAAUGUUGUUUUAUUUAUAUUUGUAGUAGUGGUAGUGUUAA